rnacentral:rRNA from 1 species
CCUACGGGUGGCAGCAGUGAGGAAUAUUGGUCAAUGGGCUCGAGCCUGAACCAGCCAAGUAGCGUGAAGGAUGACUGCCCUACGGGUUGUAAACUUCUUUUAUAAAGGAAUAAAGUGAGGCACGUGUACCUUUUUGUAUGUACUUUAUGAAUAAGGAUCGGCUAACUCCGUUCCCGCCGCCGCGGUAAUACGGAGGAUCCGAGAGGUAUCCGGAUUUGUUGGGUUUAAAGGGAGAGUAGAUGGGUUUUUAAGUCAGUUGUGAAAGUUUGCGGCUCAACCGUAAAAUUGCAAUUGAUACUGGCAGUCUUGAGUACAGGUGAGGUAGGCGGAAUUCGUGGUGUAGCGGUGAAAUGCUUAGAUAUCACGAAGAACUCCGAUUGCGAAGGCAGCUUACUAACCUGCCACUGACAUUGAUGCUCGAAAGUGUGGGUAUCAAACAGGAUUAGAUACCCGGGUAGUC